rnacentral:rRNA from 1 species
UACGUAGGGUGCGAGCGUUGUCCGGAUUUAUUGGGCGUAAAGAGCGUGUAGGCGGCUUGGUAGGUCCGCUGUGAAAACUCGAGGCUCAACCUCGAGAUGUCGGCGGAAACCACUUGGCUAGAGUCCGGAAGAGGAGAGUGGAAUUCCUGGUGUAGCGGUGAAAUGCGCAGAUAUCAGGAAGAACACCUAUGGCGAAGGCAGCUCUCUGGGACGGUACUGACGCUGAGACGCGAAAGCGUGGGGAGCGAACAGG